UACGAGCAUCACGGGGGCUCCAGGUCCUUCAGCCAGCAUUAUCAUCAAUUGGCGCUUGAGGGAAGGGGAGAACUCGGGCAUUUUGCAGAUCGUAUUCUGACUGGUUGGAGUCCAAAUUACGCCGAUGAAGUGAAGAAAGCGCAGAACCGGGAUCUGGCUGAGAAAUUACAUGCUAAGGUGCAGGAGCAAUUAUCACAGACUUAGGUCGAUUCUAACACUCCGACCCAAUUAAGUAGAGAGGAGGAGGAUAGCAUCAUCGAGACCGUCAUUGGACCGAGUAGGAAGAACACAUACAGGUGGAGAGGAUCCG